rnacentral:rRNA from 1 species
UACGUAGGGUGCAAGCGUUAAUCGGAAUUACUGGGCGUAAAGCGUGCGCAGGCGGUUUUGUAAGUCUGUCGUGAAAUCCCCCGGGCUCAACCUGGGAAUUGCGAUGGAGACUGCAAGGCUAGAAUCUGGCAGAGGGGGGUAGAAUUCCACGUGUAGCAGUGAAAUGCGUAGAGAUGUGGAGGAACACCGAUGGCGAAGGCAGCCCCCUGGGUCAAGAUUGACGCUCAUGCACGAAAGCGUGGGGAGCAAACGAGGAUUAGAU